GGCCUAUGCGAGGCAAGAACACAGUUACACACCCAGGGAAGUUAGGACUCCCUCAACACCCGUGCUGCUAAGGUACUUGGGGCACCUUUAAAUUGGCGAGGAGAAGCCACAUUCUGAGGUUGCAUCUUCCAUCUACCCAGCAGCACCUGAGGUUGACCCGGGCUCGAGAGAACUGUCACCUGUUGAGACCUCAUACCUGACUCUUAACUGCUUCAGACACUGAGUGUGCUUUUUCUGCCAGAACUUACAUCAUUCUCUACUAAUGAGGUAUUAACAGCUUGGAAUAAUUGUUGCUUCACUAAUCAGGACUGAGGGGGUGACCUGGGAGUUGAGAUGGUGAAGGCACAGCUAAGACACAAAAGCAUACAGCAGCAGGUGAAGAAGAAUCACUGCAGGCGUAUGUGAAGAUGAAUCCAGUUCCUGCUGAACUCAGACACGACACAGUAAACUACCAUACUGCACGAGAUUAAAAACGCAUCCGGUUUGAAAUCAGGCUGAACUGAUUAAGCCUGGGAUUCCUCGAUGGAAAGUCGUGAGUCCCCGUGAGGAAGGCAGGAAGUGACAGCCUUCCAAGGAGGCCACUGUGGACCUGUAGUUCCUAGUAUCCCCUAGAUGGGAACCCAAUCUCUAUUUCCAAACGAGCCUUUUUCCAAACGAGCCUUCCUGCAGGUACACCAAACCUCCUACAGCUAAAGGAUGGUGUGUCCCGGGGCAGAGUGAGUUAGAAAGUCAGCCAGUCUUCAUGGCUCCUGGAGCAGAGGUAGCUUUGCCCUCCUUCUUAGAAUUCGCGACUACCUAACACUGGUGCAGGGCUUGGAAUCGGUCUAGAGCUUCAUGGGGAGAGGAAAAUGAGGCCCGACUUGGAUGUCUAGUCCGGUACUCGUGACCUAAUUGACAUCCCAGGAACAAGGCUUUCUCCAGACUCGGGUUGCCCUGGUGAGCAGGGUCGGGGGGGGGGGGGGGGGGUGGGGUGGUGAAGCAGUGCUGCUUCCUUGUGGCCGUUUCCACGAACAGCAGCCUGAAACGCUAUCCUUGUGGGUACCUAAUGUGCACAAGGCUUGAGGGGCUGUGAGUGACCAGGCUCCCAAGAAAUUACUGCAGGACGUGAGGGCCAACUGGCGACAAGCCUGCGCCAAAGCGUGAAGAAGAGUGAACUUGUGUUUUCCUUUUUAAAAUCCCUGAAAAGACGCCCAGUAUCUCCAGUGCUUAGAGAGAGGCAGGUGAAAUCUACAACGAAGUAUCUCCUGGCACCUGUCAUCAAAGAGACAACACAGAACAUCUGAUGGGGAGGGUGUGGAGAAAAGUGACUCUGAGGAAGGCUGAGUGGCUCACUGUAUGCAGAGAAGUGAUGAGGUCCUUAGGGAAGGAAAGGUGCAGCUCCCUAAAGCCCCGGCAAUCCCACUCCUGCUUGCAUGUGGGGAGAGGUGACCGUUGUUCGAAAAUACACACGUACGUGCUCCACUGGCCUUUGGAACUAACACACCGAGGAAAUGGAAACAGCCAAUUUCAGGAGAGAAACUGAGUGUUUCUAACACGGCUAAUGUGGAGGGGGGAGAGGGAAAUUAGGAGGUGGGGUUCACUGGUACUCAGUGAGGGGUGUGUGUGUAUGUAUAUGUUAUGUAUGUAUCUGUAUCUUAAAUAGACAGUAAAUGAGGGCCUACUGUAGUGCAGGGAUAACUGUACUCACAAAUGACUGUCUCCCAAAAUCCAAAGAUAAUAUGGUCCUUAUAUAGGUGAUACUGAGUCCAGUUACUAAUGAUCUCAACAUGGCACUGUUAAUUGUACUCUAGGAGAUGAUAAAAAGUGAAUUACUUUAGAAAUACUCUUUUCCAUUCAGGAAUACACAGUUCGAGAUGGGAUCAUAUUCUGGAACCUGAAGUGGCCGUGACGCCUCAAGAAAAAGUCAUGAUUCCCCUGCGUGGGGAGAAAGUGACAGCCUUCCAUGGAGGCCACAGCAGACCUUAAGUGCCUGGUAAGCCCUGGAUGGGACCCAAUCAGAUGAGCCUUCCUGCAGGUACAGCAAACCACCUAUGGCCAAAGGAUGGUGUAUCCCAGGGCAGAGUGAAGAGUCACCCAGUCUUCAUGGCUCCUGGAGCAGAGGUGCUUUGCCCUCCUUCUUAGAGUUCCUGAACUGCAUGCCACUGGUGCAGGCCUUGGAAUUGGUCUUGAACUUCCAAGGGGCGAAAAUUAGACCCACCUUGGGUGCCUAUUCAGGCACUCUUGACCUGAUUGACAUCCCAGGAACAAGGCUUUCUCCCAGACUCUGUUACCCGGGAGAGCAGAGUGCGGAUGAAAAAGUGCUGCCGCCUUGAGGCCGCCUGUGUGAACGGCAGCCUCCAGCGCUAUGCUUCCGGUUACUUUAUGUGCACAAGGCUCCAGGGGCUGUGCGUGGCCAGAGCUCCCAAGAAAUCUACUGCAGGAGGUCCCUGUAAAGAUGCCCAGUAUCUCCUGGCACUUGUCACCAAAGAGACGACACAGAACAUCUAAUGGGGAGGGUGUGGAGAAAAGUGACUGAGGAAGGUGUUUGUGGAAGGCUGUGGCUCACCGUAUGCAGAGAAGUGAUGAGGUCCUUAGGGAAGGAAAGGUGCAGCUCCCUAAAGCCCCGGCAGUCCCACUCCACUGGCCUUUGCCCAUCUACCUGCAACAGGCAAGGCAUGGAAACUACCCGAAUGCCCAGCGACAGAAGAAAGGAUAAAGAAGAUCGGCUCAGAUAAACAACGGACUGCUACUCAGAAAACCGAACGACAGCACAGGCCUGACGACAGUGUGGAUGGACCCGGACAAGAUACAGUAACUCAAGUCAGAAAAAAGCCAGGCACAGACGAUGCCACAUAUAGGCGGACACCCAAAAGCACUGAACCCACACACCAAAAAAAUGUAAAGGGGCACGAUGGGGAGGGUGGAGAGGGAAAUUGCAAGCUCGGAGUUCACAGCUACACAUGCCUGUAUUUGUCUACAUAUUUAGGAUAGAUGAUUUAGGAGACCCUACAGUGUGGAACACAGACAACUCUCUUCACUCUACAAAUAACUAUGUCCCAAAGAAUCCAAACAACAGUCAUUCCAUGUACAUUUGAAUCGGAGUCCAGUUCCCAUUCAACUCAAAACUUGAAUUCACUUUAGAAAUGCCCCCUCUUUUCCAUUCAGGCCUAACUGGUCUGGGCUGGGGUCAUAUCUUGGAGCCCUGAGGUAGCUUGGAUCCCAAGUUUGACAGUGGCUGUUUCUAGGAUCAACAACCUUAAAACCUAUGUUUAAAGUGAAGUCA